ensembl:lncRNA
GUUGUGUUUACUAAUCGGCAGGCGGUUGAGGCCUACUCUUCCCUUGAAAAAAAAAAAAAAGCUUCUCUCUGGUAAAUAAAUAAUGUUGCACUGGAAUAGUUUAGCAGAGUUUUAUUGUACAUAAACCUUGUUCAGCAUCUUCACAUGUAACACAGCGUAAUGACACUAACAUCUUGAAGGAUUUCUGGGCAGUGGAGUGUUAAACGGCCCCGGCAAGAGUGGCUCCCCCCACACACACUCACUGCCAGCCGAACCAAAUUGUACUUUAACUCCAGGAAAGAUGAAAUGCUGCCUCUCAUGAGGGUUGCUGUCUAUCCGGCAUCUCGCCGACAUUUAUGGAAGAAGAACUCGCCGUUGCAUGGCUUCCGCUCGACUGACAAGCUCUGAAAAAAGCAAAGACAUGAAAGACAUGAAUGAUACCUUAAAUCAUGUGGCUUGUUGAAGACAGAUGAAUGAAAAUCCUUCAUCCUCAGAACGACAUGAGGAAAUGUUCAUCAAUUUGAUACUGACGAGUGCUGAAAGCCAAGCGAGCGGAACGUAAACAAAAGCAGCCCUAUCACGUCUAUCUGCAGCACUGGAAGACAUUAGAGCUUAUGGGAGCCAACAUCUGUUACAGCGAGAACGCACAACAACAGGACCAAAUGAUGUGUGUGGGACCGCGCUAAUGUGUGACUACAGGUCCAAGCAAGCUGCCUGACAGAACGUUAGCUGAGAAAUAUGUUGUGUUUGUUUCACAGUUUGUGGAG